rnacentral:rRNA from 1 species
GACGAACGCUGGCGGCGUGCCUAAUACAUGCAAGUUGAGCGCUGAAGGUUGGUACUUGUACCCACUGGAUGAGCAGCGAACGGGUGAGUAACGCGUGGGGAAUCUGCCUUUGAGCGGGGGACAACAUUUGGAAACGAAUGCUAAUACCGCAUAAAAACUUUAAACACAAGUUUUAAGUUUGAAAGAUGCAAUUGCAUCACUCAAAGAUGAUCCCGCGUUGUAUUAGCUAGUUGGUGAGGUAAAGGCUCACCAAGGCGAUGAUACAUAGCCGACCUGAGAGGGUGAUCGGCCACAUUGGGAAUGAGACACGGCCCAAACUCCUACGGGAGGCAGCAGUAGGGAAUCUUCGGCAAUGGACGAAAGUCUGACCGAGCAACGCCGCGUGAGUGAAGAAGGUUUUCGGAUCGUAAAAAUCUGUUGGUAGAGAAGAACGUUGGUGAGAGUGGAAAGCUCAUCAAGUGACGGUAACUACCCAGAAAGGGACGGCUAACUACGUG